AUUGAACGCUGGCGGCAUGCCUAACACAUGCAAGUCGAACGGCAGCACGGGAGCUUGCUCCUGGUGGCGAGUGGCGGACGGGUGAGUAAUGCAUAGGAAUCUGCCCAGUAGCGGGGGACAACUUGGGGAAACUCAAGCUAAUACCGCAUGCGCCCUACGGGGGAAAGCGGGGGACCUUCGGGCCGUCGCACUAUUGGAUGAGCCUAUGUCAGAUUAGCUUGUUGGUGGGGUAACGGGCCGUACCAAGGCGACGAUCUGUAGCUGGUCUGAGAGGACGAUCAGCCACACUGGGACUGAGACACGGCCCAGACUCCUACGGGAGGCAGCAGUGGGGAAUUUUGG
rnacentral:rRNA from 1 species